rnacentral:rRNA from 1 species
GCGUCCCAUUAGCUAGUUGGUGAGGUAACGGCUCACCAAGUCAACGAUCGGUAGCCGGACUGAGAGGUUGAACGGCCACAUUGGGACUGAGACACGGCCCAGACUCCUACGGGAGGCAGCAGUGGGGAAUAUUGGGCAAUGGGGGAAACCCUGACCCAGCAACGCCGCGUGAAGGAAGAAGGUCUUCGGAUUGUAAACUUCUUUGAUCAGGGACGAAACAAAUGACGGUACCUGAAGAACAAGCGCACGGCUAACUACGUGCCAGCAGCCUC